rnacentral:rRNA from 1 species
GACGAACGCUGGCGGCGUGCUUAACACAUGCAAGUCGAACGGUGAAAGCGGAGCUUGCUCCGCUGGAUCAGUGGCGAACGGGUGAGUAACACGUGGGCAACCUGCCCCUCACUUCGGGAUAACUCCGGGAAACCGGGGCUAAUACCGGAUAUGACCUCAUUUGGCAUCCUUGGAGGUGGAAAGCUUUUCGGUGAGGGAUGGGCCCGCGGCCUAUCAGCUAGUUGGUGAGGUAAAGGCUCACCAAGGCGACGACGGGUAGCCGACCUGAGAGGGUGAUCGGCCACACUGGGACUGAGACACGGCCCAGGCUCCUACGGGAGGCAGCAGUAGGGAAUCUUGCACAAUGGGCGCAAGCCUGAUGCAGCAACGCCGCGUGAGGGAUGACGGCCUUCGGGUUGUAAACCUCUUUUAGUAGGGAAGAAGCGAAAGUGACGGUACCUGCAGAAAAAGCACCGGCUAACUACGUGCCAGCAGCCGCGGUAA